GUAAUGGAAGGGCAGCCAUGCAGAUGUCACCAGAAGUGAGCCUGUCCCUGGUGCUGUGCCACAGCGGCUGUGGUAGGAUGUGCUCAGUGAUCAGACUGCGUGACAUUUGUGCAGGGUGAAAAAGGCAUUCAGUUUUCUAUGCUGGUCAACAAUAGCAUGCUUUGCAUGCUUUGCAAAUAUCUGAGAAGCAGAAAAGCAAAUUGUACAUGUGAGCAGCGUGGCCUGACUUUCUGAGCAGUCUGCACGGGGCACCUUUCAGGCAGUGGAAGCUCAGACUGCUGUGUGCUUUGGUGUGAAUAACAUGCAGCUUCAUGGAUAGCUGCAGUGCAAUUAAAUGGCAAGAACUGCCUACUCAACAUGUGCAUCAGCCCAGGAUGCUGCCAUAGCAAAGCAGAGUGUUUCUGCUGCUUUUGAAAUUUGGCAAGGGUAUAAAAAUAAUUUAGUGUCUGGAAGACAUUUUCCACCAGACGUUUUCCUUUAGAACCAGCAAAAAAAAUGUAGUCUAAAUUAGUGUUUGGCAAGGUCUUUACAAAGGAAGGUUAGUCAGAUGUAGCACACGUAAGAUUAACUCUUACAACUAUGAAAAGCUCAUAUUCUGAAAGCAGGAAUUUCUUUAUGCAGCAGGAGUUUAUUUGAUUCUAAGAUUAUUAAGAUUAUGUUUAGGCUCCUCCACCUCACUCAUGUUUUCUUAUUCUGAGUAUGGCAGUGGCCUGUAUUUUGUGUUUAUUCAGCACAGCUAGUAAUGCAAAUCCAAAAUCACACAAAAAGCAAUGUUCCCUUCUCAACCCAGCCUCAGUUAUAAGCAGUUGCUGGGCCACUCUGAGACCUUCUGGGUUGGAAGAUGCACAGGGCAGAGGAUGCAGGAAGAGGGGACAGACAAGUUGACUGGUGCCACUGAGAAAUAAGUGCUAUCACAAACAGCCACUCACCCCAUCAGAGCCCUGCAAGGGAUGGUGUUUGUUUCAGUUCUCUGAUGCUCCCAGUGCAGUCAAAAUAUUUGAAAAACACCAUUUUGCAAAAACCUGGGGAGCUCCUGCUUUGUUUUGCAUUCGUUGGAAGGAAAAAAAAUGUUUUCACAAGAGUUACCAAGAAAACAGCAAACAUAAGCUGGGGUGUGGAGAAGCUUUUUCCUGAUAGACACAUUGGGAGAAAACAAAUAAAAGCAAUUGAGUGGAGAGGAAUGCUUUUGUCACUGGCUGGUUGUAGCAGUUCAGCUAGUUAGGUCAGCCCCUGGGCCCAGUCCUUUCAGAUGACAUCUGGGGACAGGAACGGAUAGCACAGCACUUUCCCAGGCAGGGAGCGGGCUCUGCAGGUACGUGCUCACCUUGUGAGUGCAUGAGAAUUAAAACAUCUGUUACAACCUCUUGGAUAAAACUUGCUUCAGAUGGGGAAACACGAGGUAACUGCAUCUUAAUUCCAAGCGGCAGUAUUGUAAGUUACUUAUUUUUCUGCAGAGCAUUAGUGAUGGUUAGAUUCGAAGUGAGAAGAUGCAGGGACUGUCAGCUCGGCCUGCCUGGGAGAUGUGGGGAAGCGUGCUCUCUGCCCUGCAUUUGUCCAUUGCCCACUAUGGGCCCAAAACUGAGAAACAAGUAUUGAAAGCAAGUAAGAACCAAGAAAGACCUCACCCUUCAGGUAUUUCUGCAGGGGAACAAAAAGGAAGAAAAAAAAAGAAUAAAAGAAAAAAGUAAAUAAGAGGUACCAGAGCUGUAGAACUGGGAAAGAAAACUGUAGGCAUAGGGCAGGAAUAGAAACUGGCUUUGGUUUCCUCUACAUCCAUGCACUACUGCACCAAAAGGACAGCAAGCAUUAGCAGGGCAAAGAAAAUGUGCAUUUGUUUUCUGGUUUUCCUGUCCUGUACAGAUAAUAUCACAUGCCUCAGAGGCUCAGACAUCCAUCAUCUUACCUGCAAGCUACGCAGAGGGCAGAGAGCAAAGCAAGUACAAAGAAGACAGUCCCUGUUAAAAUUGCCAGCAUCAGUACAUUUUCCAUUCUCUCCUGCCUCACAGCAUCCACGGUGUUGGGUUCUGUGAUGUUCUUGUACUCAAAGAGCAUUGCGAAACCUCUGCCCCGGUUGGUGGUGGUAAUGAGUUCCAUGAUAACCUCAACCAUUUCCAGAGACGAACCAAAGACCAUGGUCCUGUUUAAAGGUGAAUUUGGUCCACAGAAACGAGAGGAAAACGUGAUGAGAUCUGAAACAUACAGUACGUCGUGGGGACAGACAUCCACUGCCGGCUGCUGGCUGGAGAUUUCCACUGGCAGUAUUGUUGUGGGAAGCGUCCAGCUCUCUCCCAGACUUUCAUCUCUCUCACUAGCAGCUAGGUGGGCAAACAAAAUAUUGCCUUUCCAACCUUCUUUUGUUUCUUGGCCGCUAACAUUUUGCCUCUGUGUUUUGGCGCCAUCGGAAUCAGGUAAUGGCUGUUCUUCUCUUUGAGUCUCCGUAAUCGCUUUGCGUUCCUUCAUCUGUUUUGGCCGGUUUCCUUCGGACGUCUGUUUGGCUUCACCUUUCUUUGAGGCUGCUCCUGGAAGUUCGUCCAGGUGGCCAGGAAGUCCUUCUGACUGAUCUCCUGCACCGCUCAGAUUCUGAGCUGCCUUUGACGUCCAGCUCUGAAGAGAGGAUUCUGUAGUCUGGAGAACGAAGUCCAGGUUUUCCUCGGGAGGAGUCACGUCCUUAUUUCCUGUUAUCGCAGCAGCUGGAAAGCCAUCCCAGGGGGUUGGAGUUUCACUUGAGCUCUCAAAAAUGUCAAAGUCAAAAAUUUCCAAGAUGAGAUGCAUUCUUACGGGAAUGAAGAAUUGCCAAACGCAGUGUGUCCCCGGGUAGUAGUUGUUUGGAAAUCCUGGUGAUAAAAUCAGGCCUCUUUCCAUUGACUCCACCACCGCGCCACAGGAAUAAUAGACCUGGGAAAUACAACAAAUACACUUACUUCUUGCCAGAGACAACAUACAGGACGCAGCAUGCUGGACCUACGGAAGAUCCUACCCCUUCCCUUUAGUGACUGGUGUAGACUUCUACAGGCUUCAUGAAUUCUGAGUUCCUGAGGCUAUCUUCUGCUUGCACAUUCAGAGCCUUAAUCUCUAAUAUGGACAACCAGUCUCAGACUGUGAGAGCGCGUACUGAGCACACAGCUUCUGAGGAAAUAUAAUCCAGAUGAGCAAUUCACACAGUGUUCAUUUUCUAUCCCUAUUUCAAUUAUAAUAGCAUCCCUUUCUGCUUUUGGCUGAUGCACGUUCCCAGGUUACUGAAUCCUGAAUACAUUUGUUGUUGACACACAACUCUUUGCUGCACAAAUGUGUCAUCCUAAACAGCUUGUAGUGUGAUAAAAACCUUAAGCUGAAGAAAAACUGUGUCACUACAGCAUCUUGAAUUCUAUGUUAUUCUCAUUACAAAACCACUUUUUUAAGUGCAACAAGGCCCUCGCACUGAUGAUUAUCCAUGAAUCAUCUAAACAACUUAUCUUGGUUUCAGAGACGUUUGGACUUAUUUACUUCAGUAAUACAGGCAGUUUUGAUUGGGUACAUUUUCUCUUGAAAUGCAAAGGCUCUGGAAAUAGUGCCAGCAGAUACCCGCUCACACUGGUAGGCCAGCAAUCUGCAAGCAUUUUGCAUAACAGUGACAGUUCCGUUUGAAAUUCAUUUCUUCUUGCUCUAUAAAUAGCCUUCACAGUCUCCCAAAAAGGAAGAAAUGGGUGCACUGCCAACCAUUCUGCUUCUUUAAAGGUAGGCGAGGCUGUUUUCACACAUCAUAUUCACAACAACCUUUCCCAGAAGUAAGCUCCCGGAGCCCUUUUUCAAGAUGCUUUCCAUAAACGUGCGGGGUGCAGAGCCCUGUCUGUGCCUGGGGCAACAGCUUUUGAAAAGGAGAACAAAUAAGUCACAAGUGCUGAGGUCAUGAGCCUUGUCUGGGAGCACGUGUUUACUAUCAUAAAUUGGAAAAGAAAGAGAAUGCUUGGGGGUUGUUUUUAUUCUUUAUUAUUAUUGUUGGAUUCAUUGUCUCAGUCUGUUAUCUAUUUAAACACAAAGAAAGCUUGGCAGUAGAACAAACAAAGCUUAUGAAGUCCAUAUAAAGCCACAAAGAUCAAAAUACUCCAGAUUUCUUUUUUUUUCUCCCGGUCCCUCCCCGUCUCAUGUUGAAAUGGAAAGAAGAAAAAAAAACAACAACCCAAAUGUUAAAAGCCCCUAAAUAAAAACAAACCAAAAAAGGCUGGGUGUUCUGCAAGGCAUUAGCUUUGUUUUCCAACAGGUGCUUUUCAUAUUCAGAGCGAUUUCAGGGGGGGUGGCAGGGCAGCAAUAGGAAAGGACCAAAACAGUGGUGAAAUAGAAAUUGUUUUCUAUACUCCAGGUUGAAAUCCGAUCUUUGAUUUUUAAAAGUGCCUCUUAAAUCACAGGUUGAGCUAAUUAUAGGGGAAUGAACUGCAGGUUUCUCAUUUAAGACACCUGGACCAUGGCUUGAAGUUUCAAGUGAAAAAGAAACCAUGCACAGCUGCUCAGGUUUUCUGUCUAAUCAUUGGUGCUGUGCAGUAAUGCAAAAAUGGCUAAGCUGUGUGCCAUUCUCUCCAGGAGGUAAUAUGUUGUUAUUAUUAUUCGAGUCUAAAUCAGUUUAUUCAAAUAGAAAUCCAGAGGAAAACAUUGUCAGUUUAGGAGGAUACAGAUCCUAACUUCCACUUUUCCAUCUGAAUUAUGGAUGCAUUUGUUGUCACUUUGUAAAUGCUGUUGAUAAGGAGCUGGUUCCCACUGACUGAACCCUUCUUCCCUUAGGGAGAGGGUUACUCUGUGACACAGUUUCCCUGUGAGGUCCCUCUGUCCUGGGCUGUCCAUGCAGAUUGUCUUCAUUUCAUGGCAGUCUCUUGAGCUCACUCAUAAGCAAGAUACUGGUGUAACAGAAUGCAGCAUGCAAUACCUAACUUUCCAUUUAAAAGAAGCAUCCAGUUUCGGAGCCAGAACGUGCACCAGAACUGUUGCUGCUGAAGGAUACCUCUGCUGUCUGUAGGAGGAUUUUGUGUGGGCCCAAACUUCCUCAGUUAGCGCUCAUUGAGGCUGAGGUUUUGUUUGGAGGAACAUGCCGACUGAUUGGGUUCUCUUUUUUCAGAUACCAAGAAGGCAGUUGGAGGUGUUUGCAGCCCCACCUCUCCUACCAGAACUCUGCUAAUGUCUAAAAGCAGCAGCUGUCAGCUCAGCAGCUCUCACACUGAAUGGGACAACCUACAGCUCUUCUGUAUCAAACAAAAGCAAUCAUGUAAAGCAAGAAUAUCUUCUGAGGAUGAGGACCAGGUACUGCAGCUGUGGAUUUUUGCUUUUAAGCACACAGGCACGAGGUGGGGAGAAACGACUCCACUGCUUCAGGACAUCAGGACAGAACUGCUUCCCACACUGCCUGAACUCCAAGCCCUGCUCGCAGUACCUGGCUGCCAAGGCUUCCAUUCUUCCUUCCUGGAUCUUCCUCCUGGAUACACAAGCCACCUGUCCGCACAUUUUGUUCCAUCUGAUACAGACAUACAGGAGGAAACACCAUUCACCUUAUCUUCAAAUUAUCUCUCAUUUGCUCUCACUCUGAUUCUUAUGUUGCUGCAGUCCUUAGUUUGGGGGUUCCAAAGCAGGCUGUUUUGCUACAAAACCUAUUUCAGCAUCCACACAACCCUACAACAUCCCCACAGCCUCAGCUCUGACUGGCACAGACCACCUCCCUGGAUGCCCAGCUCAGCCCGCCAUCCCUCACACACACAGUGCCCGUUCCAAGGAGUCUGCUGUGGUUUUCAUACUGCUAAUUCCACGCAGGCAGAUAAUUCAUUUCUCAUUUUUGCUAAAUCGAACCAGAUUUGAACUAACCAUUUAGAGGAUUUUUUCCUAGCAUAGCAACACUAUCAGAAGGCAGCCAAAACAGAUAAAAAUAAUGAAGCCUACACAGACCUUGACGAGCGAGGAACAAGUACAACUUAAUCAAAAGAAUAACAAAACCAGGGAGCAAGAGAUGUGUGCGUGUGUCUACAUGCAUGAAUUUCACUGUCACAUUUAGGCAGAUAAGCUAUAGAAAAUGCCUAGGUUUUAUUCUGCAAAAGAAAUUGUCCUGCAUGUUUAAAGACUACAGGCAGUGUGCAAUCAUAUGAAUAGCUGACAUAAGAAUAAGUCAUGCCUGGGAAAGUAAGGGGGAGGCUGCUGCUGCUUCCUUAGGGAGGCACUUCUGGUAUGGUACCUGUGGUCAGUGCUUAAGUGGGAAGGUAAAUGGUCAUGGCUUCAGAACCAGAGAUCAACGGGAGCUGGCUGGGAAAGACAGGAAAAAGACAGAUGGAACAAAGUGAUGCAGGGUUUGCUGAUGCACACAGUGUCACGCCGUUGAACUCACACCCAAAGACACACGACAGCAAAUAUUUGUUCCGUCUCAUGACUGUCCAGGCAAAAUUAGAACGAAGCACAGGAAGGAUGUAACAACUUCGGGCAGGGAGCAGUCAUGCAGUGUAAGGGUGCAGCUGGGUGCGGGAGUUGUUCACUCUCAGAAACAAGCCCGAGGGAAGGGUAAGUUUCCAGGUUACAUGUUGCAGUUCUGAGUUAAAAGAGAGACUAAAGACAAAAACCCACAGCCGUACAAUUCCAUAGAUUAAAGCGUGCACCUUUGUGAAGUUGGUACUCAGUACUUCAGAAUCAAGAUCAUGGCUUAAGUAAGAAGUUCUCGGUAGCUAUCUUCACGUGAGUGAGAUAAAACAUUUCAGCCACGAAGUCACUGCUGUGCUGGUAUGUGCUGCGGCAGGCUGAAUCAUACCAUGCUGCUUUCCCCCCUUAAGCAAUCCCCCGCAUUUCUUUGAUAUAUUUAUACAUAACUAAAGAAAUACUUUC